AUAUUGGACAAUGGGCGAAAGCCUGAUCCAGCAAUGCCGCGUGAGUGAUGAAGGCCUUAGGGUUGUAAAGCUCUUUCGGUGGGGACGAUAAUGACGGUACCCGCAGAAGAAGCCCCGGCUAACUUCGUGCCAGCAGCCGCGGUAA
rnacentral:rRNA from 1 species